rnacentral:rRNA from 1 species
CCUACGGGUGGCAGCAGUGAGGAAUAUUGGUCAAUGGCCGAGAGUCUGAACCAGCCAAGUCGCGUGAGGGAAGACGGCCCUACGUGUUGUAAACUUCUUUUGUCGCGGAGCAAAACAAGCCACGUGUGCUUCUUUGAAUGUCCCUUAAGAAAACGCAUCGUCUAACUCCGUGCCAGCAGCCGCGGUAAUACGGAGGAUGCGAGCGUUAUCAGGAUUUAUUGGGGUUAAAGGGUGCGCAGGGGGAUGUGCUAGUCAACGGUAAACUUGCGGGGCUCAACCCCGUACUGCGGUUGAAACUGGAUGCCUUGAGUGCGGGAGAAGUAUGCGGAAUGCGUGGUGUAGCGGUGAAAUGCAUAGAUAUCACGCAGAACUCCGAUUGCGAAGGCAGCAUACCGGCGCGCAACUGACGCUCAUGCACGAAAGCGUGGGUAUCGAACAGGAUUAGAUACCCGGGUAGUC